CCCGUUUGGCCUACGUCCGGAGACGUGUCGAUGUGAGUGGCCCGUUUGGCCUACGUCCGGAGAUGUGUCAAUGAGAGUGGCCCGUUUGGCCUACGUCCGGAGACGUGUCGAUGAGAGUGGCCCGUUUGGCCUACGUCCAGGGACGUGUCGAUGAGUGCGACCUGUUUGGCCUACGUCCGGAGACGUGUCGAUGAGAUGGGCCCGUUUGGCCUACGUCCGGAGACGUGUCGAUGAGAUGGGCCCGUUUGGC
rnacentral:lncRNA from 1 species